CCCGGUCUUUUAAAACGUCAUUUAUUCCUUGCAUGGUUAUAUUUCUCAUAAAUUCUAUGGUCGAGCUCUCUUCCAAUGAUGUCUUAAAAAUAUCUUUUAUUUGUUCUUCAACAGAGUUUUGAAUCAUAUUUCUAAUAAGCGUGGUGAUGUAAAGUUUAAUGUUCCUAUUGAUGAUGUUCGUAUCAAGCAUUGCAACCAAUGGUGCACCUUUGUCGUUUAUUAAAGGUAUGGACAAUGGAUGUUCAUUGCCUGUAUCUUUGGUGUCUGAUCCUGAUGCUGUGACACAUAUAUCUCCAUACCAGGUCAAACAAAAAGCAAUUAUUAUACUGUUUGACUUCAUAUUCCGAUAUCACUUAAUUUCUCCAAGCUAUUUAUAAAUUUUUCUAUAUGUUACAAUGUACCUUUUAAGUUUCAGCAAAGCAAGUUUAUCGCACAAGUAAUCACUGCAAUCUCCUUUAUGUAUAUAUCUGACCUAAAACCACAAACA
rnacentral:lncRNA from 1 species